rnacentral:rRNA from 1 species
UGGGAAUCUUCCGCAAUGGACGAAAGUCUGACGGAGCAACGCCGCGUGUAUGAUGAAGGUCUUCGGAUUGUAAAGUACUGUCAUUGGGGAAGAACGGUUUUCUUGAAAAGAUUGAGAAGACAUGACGGUACCCAAGGAGGAAGCCCCGGCUAACUACGUGCCAGCAGCCGCGGUAAUACGUAGGGGGCAAGCGUUGUCCGGAAUUUAUUGGGCGUAAAGGGCGCGUAGGCGGGCCUUUAAGUCCGGUGUGAAAGAUCAGGGCUCAACCCUGAGAGUGCAUCGGAAACUGGAGGCCUUGAGGACAGGAGAGGAAAGUGGAAUUCCACGUGUAGCGGUGAAAUGCGUAGAUAUGUGGAGGAACACCAGUGGCGAAGGCGACUUUCUGGACUGUAACUGACGCUGAGGCGCGAAAGCGUGGGGAGCAAACAGGAUUAGAUACCCUGGUAGUCCACGCCGUAAACGAUGAGUGCUAGGUGUAGAGGGUAUCGACCCCUUCUGUGCCGCAGUUAACACAAUAAGGCACUCCCGCCU